GGCCUUCGGGUUGUAAACUGCUUUUGUACGGAACGAAAAGGCCCUGGUGAACAACCGGGGUUGCUUGACGGUACCGUAAGAAUAAGCACCGGCUAACUACGUGCCAGCAGCCGCGGUAAUACGUAGGGUGCGAGCGUUAAUCGGAAUUACUGGGCGUAAAGCGUGCGCAGGCGGACAUGCAAGACAGAUGUGAAAUCCCCGGGCUCAACCUGGGAACUGCAUAUGUGACUGUAUGACUGGAGUACGGCAGAGGGGGAUGGAAUUCCGCGUGUAGCAGUGAAAUGCGUAGAUAUGCGGAGGACCACCGAUGGCGAAGGCAAUCCCCUGGGCCAGUACUGACGCUCAUGCACGAAAGCGUGGGGAGCAAACAGGAUUAGAUACCCUGGUAGUCC
rnacentral:rRNA from 1 species